UACAGAGGGCUCAAGCGUUGCUCGGAUUCAUUGGGCGUAAAGGGUGCGUAGGCGGCGCGGUAAGUCGGGUGUGAAAUCUCGGAGCUUAACUCCGAAACUGCAUUUGAUACUGGCGUGCUUGAGGACUGGAGAGGAGACUGGAAUUUACGGUGUAGCAGUGAAAUGCGUAGAGAUCGUAAGGAAGACCAGUGGCGAAGGCGGGUCUCUGGACAGUGCCUGACACUGAGGCACGAAGGCCAGGGGAGCAAACGGG
rnacentral:rRNA from 1 species